rnacentral:RNase_P_RNA from 1 species
AGCUGGCUAUGCAAUCGCGCUGAGACUAAAUGGGUAACCAAUUGAUCUCAGGGAGGAAAGUCCGGGCUCCACAGGGCAAGGUGCCAGGUAACGCCUGGGGGGCGUGAGUCCACGGCCAGUGCCACAGAAAAUAUACCGCCUGCCUCGCAGGUAAGGGUGAAAUGGUGCGGUAAGAGCGCACCGCGCUGCUGGUAACAGUAGUGGCAGGGUAAACCCCACCUGGAGCAAGACCAAAUAGGGGGACUUAUAAUGCGGCCCGCAUUGUUCCCGGGUAGGUUGCUUGAGUUGUGCGGUGACGUACAUUCCAGAUGAAUGAUUGCACGCGACAGAACCCGGCUUAUCGGCCAACUCC